CAAUAUAAAAGCAAGGCCCAGGGGAAGGCCCAAUCUUAUAAAGCCCAAGGAUCUAGUUUGUGCAAGCCUAGAUCGGGAAAGAUAGAUCAUCGAUGCCAUCAAGACUGGGAAGCCUUAUGGGCCGUCGAGACAACUAGCCCAAAGACAUUCAAUUAUGAUGAGUGGUGGGCUUUCUGAUUGAUCUUAGAAGACAACAGUGGCCAGCCCGAGAUGUCGCACGGAGGGGAGAUACCUGCGGGUGGGCGACCCGAGUCACCUGGUCUUCUAGGCCCAUUGGGUAGAUCUGAAGAUCUCCCCUCACCUUGAGGCCUAAUCUAGUGGACCUGCACCCAAGAGAGAAGGAACAAAGCUGAACGCCUAACCCAACAGCCUAUCCCAGCAGUAGCCAUGAGCCCAACUGAGGAGGAACCUGGGCGGGCCACGGACCUGUAAGGCCCAAAUGCCACACACGGGCAGGCCUGCCCCUGUGUGUU
rnacentral:lncRNA from 1 species